AUGUCAAUGUCCUGAUUUUAGAAGUUUCUGUGACUUUUUUAUCCACGGCAGCAGUCAGGAAAUUAUUUCUUCAGUUUAUUAUCUCUUUGAAAUGCUUACAGGGAUGUACGUGCAACAUCAUAUGCUGAUUGCCAUGGAUGGAACUAGCCGACUAGCUUCCCUGCAGUUUCUUGCUGGUAAAUCAUGCAAAUUCGGUUGCUGGCUUAAUGGUAUGUAGCAUCUCCUUAUAUGAUAGGUUGAUAUGGGCAUCAUCUUUUUGGCCACAGUAACUUGUUCCGGUCAUUGCUUCGUUCUGUUAUAUUGUUCUGCAAAAUAGAACGCUGGCAUUUUCUUUGUAUGAACAUUUAGCUAGUUUUGCUUCGUGAUAGCAUCUGACAUUCUGGGCAGAACAUUUGAUGCAGAUGCACAAACAAUUCUAGCUCGCGAAGGAAAUAUUGAUUUAUCAUUUUUCCAAAGGUACUAUUAUAAUGCCAUGUGGUCUAGCUACUAUUUGAGAUUUUUUAUUUUGAGGUUCCUCAUUUCUUUAAGGUGAAUGCUUGAUGUGUUCUUUCUUGAAGAAAUGAACUAAGAUCCUUCAUCAUCCCUUAUUAUAUCAGUGCUUUAUUAUAAUGUUCUAUCAUCCCUCAUCAUCAUAGUAUUAAACAAGAGCUGUCAUUGGGUGCAUUUUUCUAUUAAUUACUUGCUAUAUCAUCCUCAUCUACUCAGUGUUUUUCUAAUUAAAGUUUAUUAUGUUUCAGCAUUAAGUUUGUCAUUUUGUUCUCACUUUUCUUGAGCAGGUCAUUACAGGGUGGAAGUCUAAAAUAGUGGAGGUCUAAUCGUUGCUUGGCUAUUGCAACCAGUGGAGGUCUAAACCAGCAAAGGACCGGGGUGGAAGUCUAAAAUAGUGGAGGUUUGUGGUGGAUUAAAUGAGUCGUACGUUGAGCUGGAGAUACUUGUGAAUUCACAAGAAAAUUGUACCAGAUGGCUAGCUAGUUGCAUAUUUAAUAUGUUUAAUAUUUUUGUAAGGCAUAAUAGUAUAGAUAGAGCAGUUGUUGAAUUUUGACUAUAUUCAAAUCUUGUAUGAAUUCUUUUUUAUGAUAAUAAUAUAAAAUUAAAUAUUUUGGA